rnacentral:tRNA from 1 species
AAAUAAGAAGCAAAACUGCAUUUAAUUUCGACUUAAAAGAAUGAGUAUGAUUAUACUCCUUAUUUG